GUGCUCGCUUCGGCAGCACAUAUACUAAAAUUGGAAUGAUACAGAGAAGAUUAGCAUGGCCACUGCGCAAGGAUGACACCCAAUUCCAUUCAUGUUGCUGCAAAUUGC